rnacentral:rRNA from 1 species
GACGAACGCUGGCGGCGUGCCUAAUACAUGCAAGUCGAACGCUGAAGAGAGGAGCUUGCUCUUCUUGGAUGAGUUGCGAACGGGUGAGUAACGCGUAGGUAACCUGCCUGGUAGCGGGGGAUAACUAUUGGAAACGAUAGCUAAUACCGCAUAAAAUUGAUUAUUGCAUGAUAAUUAAUUGAAAGAUGCAACUGCAUCACUACCAGAUGGACCUGCGUUGUAUUAGCUAGUUGGUGAGGUAACGGCUCACCAAGGCGACGAUACAUAGCCGACCUGAGAGGGUGAUCGGCCACACUGGGACUGAGACACGGCCCAGACUCCUACGGGAGGCAGCAGUAGGGAAUCUUCGGCAAUGGGGGGAACCCUGACCGAGCAACGCCGCGUGAGUGAAGAAGGUGUUCGGAUCGUAAAGCUCUGUUGUAAGAGAAGAACGGGUGUGAGAGUGGAAAGGUCAAACUGUGACGGUAUCGUACCAGAAAGGGACGGCUAACUACGU